rnacentral:rRNA from 1 species
GACGAACGCUGGCGGCGUGCUUAACACAUGCAAGUCGAACGGAAAGGCCCUGCUUUUGUGGGGUGCUCGAGUGGCGAACGGGUGAGUAACACGUGAGUAACCUGCCCUUGACUUUGGGAUAACUUCAGGAAACUGGGGCUAAUACCGGAUAGGAGCUCCUGCUGCAUGGUGGGGGUUGGAAAUUUUCGGCGGUUGGGGAUGGACUCGCGGCUUAUCAGCUUGUUGGUGGGGUAGUGGCUUACCAAGGCUUUGACGGGUAGCCGGCCUGAGAGGGUGACCGGCCACAUUGGGACUGAGAUACGGCCCAGAGUCCUACGGGAGGAAGCAGUGGGGAAUAUUGCACAAUGGGCGGAAGCCUGAUGCAGCAACGCCGCGUGCGGGAUGACGGCCUUCGGGUUGUAAACCGCUUUCGCCUGUGACGAAGCGUGAGUGACGGUAAUGGGUAAAGAAGCACCGGCUAACUACGUG